CUCUCCUAAAAUCACCGUAUAGUAUCAAAGUUCUCUCUCCAUGAUCUCUCUUAGAAUGCCAUUUUCUUUCCCAUUCUAUAGCCACGAUUCUCCUUUUAUCUUCUCCAUUGUCUCUCUCAAUUUUCAAUAUUUUUUACUCCAAAAAGUUGUGAAAACUUGAAAUUUCCUAUUCCAAUAGCUGAUUCAAUAACUCCGAAGAGGGUUACCCGAGGUUUAGCAACAAUAAUUGUUGCAGAAAGGAGAACAAAAAUACGCAAUGACACACCGAAACAAGGCCAAUUUGAGAAAUCUUCGAAAGAAUUAACACUUUCUGAUGCGAAAAAGAGAAGAAAACUUAUGGAUGAUGCUUCAGGGGGUAAGGGAAAAGAGGUCGAUACAGGAACUAGCUCAGAAACACCGAACGAAAAGGUAAUUGUAGAUGUAUUUAUAUGUAUUUGAGUCCGCAUACAUUGAUUAUUACUUUCUACAAUAAUUUUCUCUUCUUGUAUGUUGUUGUCAUUAUAUGUAUUCAAUAGUGCCUACACUGAUUUUUACUUAUUACAGUGACUUUUAA